GUGCUGCAUUACAACUCAGGCAAGCAACUGCUGAGCAGGAGGCUCAGACAGGAACAGGCACUGCGAGGAGAAGGAGUGCCAAGGGUGUCCCCUCUUCCCAGCCCAGCCUGGACGAAACAGGGCUAUGCGUGCUGCCAACCGUGCCUAAAGGAGCUCAGGGGUAACCUGGCACGCACCGCUCUUUGGACAGCUUUCAGCUGCUGUUCUCGUGGGCUCUGCGGAUGUUUUGUAUUGCACUACCGAAGCGACACCUGAGAGGUAACGCGGGGUGGUGCUUUGCGAGCUCCUGAAUUUAACAAUAAUAACAAUUUCAAAAAGAAGUGCUUUGCCUGUCUGGUUCCUGCGCGUUCAGAGACCUAACUCAGCUCAGCUGCAGUAAAGCGAAGAGACAUAAAAGGAGGCCGUACACGCAGACCAAGUCC
ensembl:lncRNA